rnacentral:snRNA from 1 species
GUGAAGCACAAAAGACAGCUUCCCCCUUCACCCCACUGAUCGCCAGGGUUGAUUCGGCUGAUCUGGCUGGCUAGGCGGGUGACCCCUUCCUCCCUCACCGCUCCAUGUGCGUCCCUCCCGAAGCUGCGCACUCGGUCGAAGAGGACGGCCUUCCCCAAUAGAGACGGACUGGUCUUCGGUCGAAGGUAUACGAGUGGCUGCGCUCCCCUGCUAGAACCUCCAAACAAGCUCUCAAGAGAAGAUGGUGGGACUGAUGGGUGACACACCUAGUUGAGCAUAUACAUUACCAUGCUCAGGGACCCAGGUUCAAACCCCAGUCCCCACAU